rnacentral:lncRNA from 1 species
CUCUUUUGCUUAGGUGCGGCUUGGCGCGCCCCGAGCGCUCAACGCGGUCCUGGGCGCUGCGGGCUUCUCGCGGACACUUGGACCGCCCGUAGGGGCUCCGAGCUCCCGACCUCCCGUUGUGCCGGGAGCAACUUGAAAGUCCGUCGUGCACUGUCCGUGUUCCCUCGAGACAACCUCCAAAGUGCCAGGGAAGCUAAGGAAGCGUUUCUGACGCUCUGGCGCCUGGACUUCCUCUCACCCUCGCCCCCACAUCACCCCGUCGCCACCGGGAGCUGCACGAGUGCGACACGCAAGGGAGCGCAGGUGUCCUCGCGGUCCCGCAUCACAUCCGCAAGCCGAUUUCCCCAGCUCGGGGGCUGUUAUCUGGCCCGGAUUCCGCAGGAUGGCGGGUCCACCCCAGCGCCCCCACUCCCCGCCCUCCUUCGGGUCGCCAGGCCCUCGGGUGAUUCAGAAAUUCAUCAAAUCCAAAUGGCAGCGGGCUCUCUGUCAGGCAGGAAACAAGCCGCACCGAAGGCUCGGCAGGUUCCUCCUUGCUGCUGUGGUAAUGGAAAAGGAGCCGCCGAGUGGAGCUAACGAGGAAGGAAGGACCCUCCGUCUGGCGCGCCUCUUUCCCGCGCCUCCCGCCCUGUACGUGUGAUGUCCCCAGCUGUCUCUCUGUUUCUCCAAGUGCCAACCACUUCACAGAUUCAGGCGUCCUCAAGUGGAGAAAACCAUUGGGCACCCGGCUUCCGGCCCGGCCACUUAGUGUCGUUAUGGCGCUGCCUCUUACAGGUGGCGGUAAAGGGCGACUGUAAAUAGCCGAUUAAACAGAUGUAAAUGUACACAAUGUACCGUGGAAUUACCGGGUGCCGCUCUGGGCACCCGCCAAGAACAGCUACUGCAUGGAGGGGAGGAGGGAGCAAAAAAAAAGUAAUUCCAUUUUGUUUUCUGAUCAAUGAAUGAGACUUUGGGGAUUUCAAAAUACUUCCAGCGCCCAGGAGACUACUCCUUGCUUUUGGCUCUGUGCUUAAAUGGUAGAUAUUUUUGUCAAGUAUUGCCGGCUUGUUUCUUAAAGUCAGCUUUUCCUCUAUGAAAAAGAGAACAAUGCUAGGGACAUUAGCCCCACACACUUCCAGGAAUUUCAGCCCCUUUGACUGUUUUAGAAAGGGGAGGGUCCUGGACCAGAAGUUAGGAGACUUGAGUCCUGGUGCUGCUCACCUGCAGAGGUGUCUUGGGAGCCCAGCCAGCCAGCCUGAAUUCCUCCAGAUUAGAGGCUUAGUCUACAUUGACAUAAGGUCCUUGGGGCUUAGGCUAGAGCACUCUGAGGUUCUUUGGCUCAAGCAAGACACCCUCUAGCUUAGUCUAUACCUCUCUGAAGUCUCUUGGCUUAGGUUUGACCUCCUUAAAGUCCUCCAGUGCAGAUACUGGGAGUCCAAGGCUAAACAGAGAAGGUGUACGUGCAGUGGAAGAUGAAAGAGCCACUUUAGGUUACAUCAUUUUCAAACAUGAACCACAGAAACAGGAUUUUAUAUCUGAUUUUUAAAAAGCCAUCAUUUACUGAGCUCGGUCACUCACUGGUUUUGAAUUAUAUGAUAUUUUUUCUCAUUUAACCUUUUUACAUAUCACCCCCUCCCUUGCAUAUUAUACUGGUGCACUAAAACAUACCAGAUACUCGUCUUCCCCAGUUUCCAGUUGAUUUUCAGGGUGAAAAACAAUGCUGAAAGCUGAAGGAAGCAGCAAAAAGACUUUAUUCUCUUACUCAAAGGCAGUGAGGCAGGGCUGGGAGGCUGGAAGAAAUCUCUCAAGACGUACAGAAGACACAGUUUCAUGGUGGGUGGGUACGUGUGGGAGUGAAGGAGAGGGGAGGAAUCAUGUUGCAAGUGUCCAACUGUCCCCUUGGUGCUGUGAGGUUUUCCCAGCCUGUACUAAGCACCCAAACUGUCAAGCGCUCCCUUUCUACCUACUACCUUGAGAACACCUGAAACCCUGCCUACGGCACCCCCCAACCCCGGCCCCCGCCGUCGGUGAAGCAGGGGUCCUCUGGACCUACAAGAGGCAGGGACAGGAAGGGAGCAGGGUCUUUCUAGCAAAGUCAGUAGUGAUGCGGGGUCAAACUACAGAGAACCUUCACCAGAUCUGCACAUGAGGCAGGCAGCAGCAGGGACACAGUCCCAUCCCUCUUCCCCCACCAUUCAUUCCUGCUGGCUCUGGGCCCAAAGCUGGGGCAAAAUGUUUUUAUGACUCUCUUAAGAUCCACUUGUAUCUUUACAAAUCAUGUUGUGUAUGUUUCGAGUCUCCUUCUCUAGACGGACUGAUUCUUAUUUAUGGUCCUAGAACACAACACAGUGCCUGGUACAGAAUGUGGGUUAAGCAUUGUCAGCAAUGAUUUUGCAGAUAGGAAUAUUCUGUUUUAUAUAAACAGUGCUGAGGCUUUCUCACAGACUGGAUUCUCCUCCUAUGUUUUGGCAAAGUGCUUUGUUUCAGUUCAAAUCUGAAGAGCAUUUUUGAGUUGUUCUACUUUCCCACAUCGACUGGCCCCAAAUCUGCUUCCAUCGCAUUCUUUCCCACAGUUUUCUUCAUUGAGAGCUGAUUUCAUAAACUCUCUUUCUACUUGGCUUUCCACCAGUUUCCCCUGUCGUACUCUGUCCCCACCAAUGUGGUCAUGGGCUAGAAAAUCAAUAAAACUCUUAAUCACAAACAAUGUGCAGCAGCAACAGCAGCAGCAGAAGUAGUGUGGCUCAGCUCCUAACUUGGCAGAUCCCAGUGAGACAGAACAAGCUCUACCAGGGAGGAACGGGACCGCACAGGACAUCCAACAUCUAGGCUGGGUGAGACUUGCUUUCAUGUUCACACUGAGAGUGACUUUUUUUUCCCUGUCUUUGGUCUUGAAUCAGGAGGAGGGGUGACUUUUCUAAGCUGCUCUGGCUUAGUUUCCAUUGCCUCCAAGGCUAUAUUCCUUCUCUUCAUACCCAGCUUGGGAAACAUAAUUCCCUCUUCCAUUGCAGCAAGCAGUCAAAAUACUGAGUUAAUUUUAUUCAUUCUACCACCCCUGUCUUUCCCUGGAGAAGGCUGGUGCUUACAUACAAGACUGAUAUAACUUUUGCAAUAAAUAUAUUUUUACAAGCUUCUUGUAUUUUAUGCACCUUCCUACAUUUAGGGGAAACAAUUCUGUCAAUUCGCUGCUAUGCAUGCUAAGCGAAUUGUGAAACAAGUAGUGAAUGUGGAACUUAUGUGGGAUUCACUACUGUUGGCUGUUACUGACUCCUCAUCCUGCCCGCUGGCAGGGAGUGGAGGGGCCCAAGCAGUCUUCUGGGUCUCCAUGUAUUUGGGAGGGAGGAGCCUCUGAGACCUCAGCGGUAGGAAGUCGCAUCAGAG